GAUCCUGGCUCAGGAUGAACGCUGGCGGCGUGCUUAACACAUGCAAGUCGAACGAAGAUGCCGGAGUGCUUGCACUUUGGCAGACUGAGUGGCGGACGGGUGAGUAACGCGUGGGUAACCUGCCUUAUACAGGGGGAUAACAGUUGGAAACGACUGCUAAUACCGCAUAAGCGCACGGUAUCGCAUGAUACAGUGUGAAAAACUCCGGUGGUAUAAGAUGGACCCGCGUCUGAUUAGCUAGUUGGUGAGGUAACGGCCCACCAAGGCGACGAUCAGUAGCCGGCCUGAGAGGGUGAACGGCCACAUUGGGACUGAGACACGGCCCAAACUCCUACGGGAGGCAGCAGUGGGGAAUAUUGCACAAUGGGGGAAACCCUGAUGCAGCGACGCCGCGUGAGUGAUGAAGUAUUUCGGUAUGUAAAACUCUAUCAGCAGGGAAGAUAAUGACGGUACCUGACUAAGAAGCACCGGCUAAAUACGUG
rnacentral:rRNA from 1 species